rnacentral:lncRNA from 1 species
ACUGCAAGAUCUGGGCUGCUGUGGCUGAUCAGUUUACAACCUGUCUCUAAUUUAUCUGCAUUUAAAAAACUGAUCGUGGACAGCAAGGCAGAAUGUGAUUGCAGCGUGACUGGCUCAGACAAGUGAGGAGGAGGAGGAGGAGGAGGAGGAGAGCCCAAGCAGGCACACAGCUCUAGGGGAGACACGCGAGUGGGAAAGAAAAUGUCUGCUGAAGGAGGUCCCCGCUUCUCAUUUGCAGCAGGCUAAACUAUUUCCAGGAUCCCAUUCUCCAUUUCUGAUAUUGUGUGUGCUUCGUUCUAUUAUCCCAACAUUUGGCAAAUGGUUUCCAAGUCCAAACAUUUGGUAUUAUUUUACGCUAGGUGAACGUGGGGCUCUUAGCAGGCUCAGGCUGGAUUCGAAAGCUGGCUGUGACUGCUGUAAUUUGGUCAUGGAUCUUUUUGUUCAGCAGUCAGGCUGUCGUUGGAAUGCUUAAUUCAUACACAGGAAGAGCUGCUGUUGUUGGUUUUAGCAGCCUGCAGUCCAAGGCAACGGUGGGUCCGGAAAAGGGCACUUACCAUUCUCACUACAGACCUGGGGAUCUCAAAGCUUGGCUUCUUUCAAGGAGUCCCAAUUGUGGCCUGAUCACCUCAUGCAUAUAAAAUCUGUUAGUUAUUCACUGAUAUCCAGUGAUACGAACUACCUAUUGACACAUAACUAAGAGAAAUGACUAUACAUAACAGAAAAGCAAGGGAACUGAUAUAUGAAAAUAUGGACCAUGGAGGUAUAAGACAAGAUAUUUUAAUCAGCUACAUAAUCAAUCAACAACCAUUGAUUGAUCAACCUUUUAUUCCAAAAUAUUAAUUGAGAAUUCCACAAGCCAGGUACUAUGCCAGAUACUAAAAAUAUAUCAAUAAUAAGACACUAGCCAUAUUCUCAAGGAGCUCACAACACAGUUGGAUAAUCCGAGAAGCAAAGCAACAGUUACAAUACACAAGGGUAAGCGUCAGGAUAGGAAAGUUCAGGGAUCUGGGAGAACACAAAGAAAGGUAGAGGAAGGGAGUCCGAGAAAACUUCCAUGGGCCAGGGAACAUCUGCUGAGUUCCGACACAGAAAAGAUAGCCAGGCAGGGGUGAGGGAUGGGCAUCAGUCAGGUUUGUGACCCUCUGUGAUGCGAGGAAACCACAGAAGUAGAAGAUUAAAUGUCAAAUAAGUGGGUUAGUGCUACUGGAAUUCAGAAUACAGCAGAAGUCAUCAGUCACCACACUCCCAGAGGAUUUGAUGUGAGUUCUAGAGUAUUGGAAAGUUUUAUUCAGGUAGGCAAACCAGGGUAAGACCCUUUAUUACAGGGGAAACAAAUUAUAGGAUCAAGAAAGGACAGAGAUAUUUAGGGCCCAGUAUGUGGAACAUUCAUUCAAUAAAUGCGUAUUGAAAUUGUGUAGGACAAAAUAGUCUAAGGACUGCUUCUAUCCUAGAGACCAGGGGACAGUAAAUUCUGUUUUGUUUUAGGCUUUGUUGGCAACAUGGCAAUGGUCAGUGGACCAUGGUCUGCCAACCUUUGCUCUAGAGACAGGCACCCUUAUUAGGAACAAGAUAGGUAUACAAAUAAUUACAAUGCAAACGAAUUUUCCUGGAGUGGUGGAGGGUAAGUCUAGGGACGGGAACUGGGGUAAAGUUGUGGAAGGCUUUGAGUGUCAGGCUCAGCAUUUAGAUGUCAUCUUGUAAGUAGCAAGGCCCUGUUGAUGAUUUGGGGCAAGGGGUUGUCUUUUGGAAGAUUAAUUUUGGACCACUGUGCAGAGCCUGGAGGUGGGGAAACUUCUAGACAGUAUUCAAAGCAUGAAGAGAAGAAGUCAGUUUCUGCCAUUUGUAGAGAAAAUGGAAGGGGAGGACAAGAGUGAGAGGCAUUGCAUGUUGUCUAAUAACUGGGUAAGAGGCCAAAAAGAAAUAAAGGAAUCAAAGAUAAGCCUCACAGUGACAAAUCCAGGUGGCUACAUGGUGGUUCUGAAAGAAGAGAUACAAAAGGUUGGGAAAGGAGACUGGCUUCGGGACAGAUUUGUGUACCUUUGGUAUGCAUGUUGAGUUGGCGUUGACAUUGGGACAUCCACAGGACACCGCUGGUCUAAACUACCAGGAGGAGCUCACACAUACAGGGGGGCAGGACUGCAAAAGAAGAACCACGGAAAAACUGUGAAGAAUCCAUAGCCACAAAGGUUAGAAGGAUAAUAGCAGUGACACUAAUGGAGGGCUAUUAUUAUGCUAGUGUUGCCUUAGACGUCUUAACGUGUGUUCUCUGCCUUAAUGGCUCCUAUAGCCCUCUGAGGUAUAUAGUGUUAUCCUCAUUUUACAGAUGAAGAAACUGAGCCUUAAAGAAGUUAGGUAAUUUUCCCCAAGGCACCCAGUUAGGAAGGUGUUAAACCACGAUUAGUUAGCUCUGUCUGCCCCAUAAGACUGUGCUCAUAGCAUCAAACUGCACUGCCCCUUGCUUAGUAGGUUUCUUGCCUGGGUGCAGAAGCUUCUACUCCAAUAGAUUACCAAACUCAGGGCCUGUAUUCACUCUUGGGUUCCCAAUGUAUGUGGAAAAAUACCCUCUUUCUUUUCUUUUUUAAAUUAACCCAAAACCCAGAUGGGCACUGCUCACACAUUUACCCAUCCACUGCAGCUCUGACCUUCCCCUUGGACGUUCUCUCACCUUCUUCCACCAGAAAGAAGUCCCAGGGACAACCAGAGUGGCAUAAUCCCAGUCCCUCACUUAAAGGUGUAGUGUCCAAAGUUCACGGUAAUGGCCUCUUCCCCCCUCACCUGCUCUGGGCUACCGGACACCUUACGCGUGUUCCUUAAUGUCUUAGCUCCCAGUGGUAGAUUGCAAAAACUGGCCACAACAUUUCCCCUUCCUGCAUCCAUGCCACUGUGAUGUGACUUUGAAGUUCUUUCCAUCGAGAGGUAGUCUAUUUCCCCACCCCUGGGAUCUGGGCUGCCUUGUCACUUGCCUUGUGACUUGCUUUGGCCACUAGAAUGUGUUGAAAGCAGUAUUUUGUCAGUUCCAAGCCAAGGGUUCAAGCGGCCUUACAUGCAUCCACUAUCCCUUUAAAGACCCCUGCCUCCCCCCUCCCCGAUGUGAACACCCCGAGCUAGACUGCUGGUGAAUAAGAAGCUUCAUGGACCAGAGAUGAGUAGUUCUGUGAUCCCAGCCAAGUCCUAAGACAUGUGAGAGAGCCCAGCCAAGAUAAGCAACACCGCCUGCCCAACAUACCAACAAGCACACAACUCACUGUGGGUGCCUAAAGAACCCCCACUGAACCCAGACUAAAAUGGUGACUCACAGAAUCUUGAGCUAAGGACACGGUUGCUUUUCUUUUUUAAACUACUAAGUUUUGGGGUCUGUGAGCAGUAUAGCUGGUACACUACUUUUCACACUAAAACUUUAAUGAUAUCUGCAUUUAAACAGUCAUCAACUAACCACGUUCUAUACUAGAACUUCCUGGAUUUCACAUAUUUGAGGUUUCAGAGGACCCACUGGCUUGCUUAUGGUUACUAUGAAUUAGCCCCAGAACUGAGAACAGAAGGCAGAACCAGGCUAGCUGUACCUCUAAGCAGAAAGAUACUCCCUCUUAGAUGAAAGGGCUCUAAUUAAAAGGCAGGAAAGAUCAGAUACCUGUAGAGUUCACUGCUAAAGGUAUCUAAAAACCUGGCUCUCAAAGUC